rnacentral:tRNA from 1 species
GGUGUAGCGCAGCUGGUAGCGCGCCUGCUUUGGGAGCAGGAUGUCGGGGGUUCAAAUCCCUCCACU